GUUGGUGCAGGUUGUCAGAGAUCAGCUGUGCUUCUCUGGCCUCAGCUCUGAAGUCCAACCCCUCCCAUCUGAGAGAGCUGGAUCUGAGAUACAACGACCUGAAGGAUUCAGAUGUGAAGCUGCUGUUUGAUCUGGUGGAGAGUCCAGACUGUAGACUGGAGACUCUGGAAUGGAAGUAGUGAUCUCUAACCACCAUCAUCCUUGUGUGUUCCUCUGGACCUGACAGAGUAUCAUCAGUGUAUCUGUCCUUCUGCACAGUCUCUGCAGACACACUGAGACUCCUCCACUCCUUCUGCUCCACACUCCACCACCUCCUCCACCUGGACCUGGGUUUCACUUUGUCUUCAUUCAUUCAUAUAUUCUGAACCCAAAGUGCCUCUGCAGAUCAGUUCUGUUUAUGACAACAUAACUGUAGAUUAACACAUUUAAAUAGAUGUUUCUGCUUUGCUUUCUGAUGCAGCUCCACCCUGUGGAACGAGAGUUCUGCACUUAAUGUUCACAUAUUACUAAAUAUAUACUGUAUACCAUAUAUGUAUAUACCAAUACCAGCCGUUUCUCAUAUUAUAACAGAUUUGCUUGUAACAAACAGAAAGAAGUAGAUAAAACCUGAACCUGAGGCUUCAGUUUCUCAACUGACUACAAACAGAUUAUGUCUGGGUUUUGCUGCAAAACAAAUACAGAUAUGAUUUAGUUUAUUACAGAUGUAUGUGUCACCCUGCUAGUUUUCACAUUACAUGGCUCAACACAGACACAUGAAGUCAACCUGUGGAGCUUUGCCCCUCAGAAAUCAAUGUUGAGUCGCCGUUAUCACCACCGUUCAUGUUCUGUAGCUCCUGAUGUAUAAUCAUAAUUGACUUUAUUUAAAAUGAUGAAAAAUGCAAUCUAUAGAGUGAGUGAAGAGAGGGAGCGUCGUUAGUGAGAGCAAAGCAGUGAAUCAGAGGAAUCAAAUGUUAUUUUCUGAUUGUUUCACGGCGGUGACGUUCUGAAGCACAAAAUAACACGCCUCCGCACAACCCUGUGGGAAGGUGCCUUAUUGCUGGAUUUUUAAUGGAUGCAGCCGACGGUCAGGCUUCAUCUUGUCCUCUCUGCUCGGCGUGUGUCCCGCGUUGUUUUUCCCCCAGUGUUGGGCCUCGUCCCGCCCUGCUGUGCUGUGAUUGGCUAGUAUUCGUUGCCUCUGCCUGGACUGUUCGGCUCAUUCUGCACACGGGAGAAGUCUUUGCCUUCAGGGCUUUCUGCCAGAAAGAGUUUAUUCUAACCCAAACCGUUAUCUUUCCCUAAACCUAACCAAGUAGAGCUGUUGCCUAAACCUGAGGAGGUUUCAGUGAACUUCUCCCAUGUGCACUCAAUUUCUGUAACCAGUGUAGCAUUAAAGUGGAUUUAGCAAGCUAGCUAGCUAACUAAUUUAACAACCUAAUGCUUCAGCCACACACAAAGUCACAGGUCACAGGUCACAAGUCACAGGUCACAGGUCACAGUCACAGGUCACAGGUCACAGCUCACAGGUCACAGGUCACAGGUCACAGGUCUCAGUCACAGGUCACAGGUCACAGCGUAGGAAAGCACAUCGCCAGUUGAGUGACAACUUUGUUCGGCUCGUUUUCUGUAACCAGUGUAGCAUGAAAGCAUCGCCCCUUUUGGACCGCAGGAACUUUCCUUCUGAACUAGGAACCUUUUGAGGAACCGCAGGGACCAGGGUCUAAAUUAAGUUCCGGGGACAAUUUAGCCUCCAAGAAGGCUCUGGUUGAGGGGUAGUACUUUCUGAAAGUACCAGAACUUUUGGGGUGGAGUUUUCGGGGAUGACCAUCGCUGAUUGGUCAAAUUCAACUCGGCUUCAACUCGUUUACCGCUUCAUUCAUAAACAAGGAAGUACUCUUGUAUUGAUUUAGGGCCACUUUAGGACGAGGGGAAUUUAUUUUCUGAUUGUUUCAUGGCGGUUACGUUCUAAAGCACAAAUAAAUAACUAUCAAACAGUC